AUUCAUUCAACUUUUCUUUAUUCACUCUCCCCCUUUUUAAAGCAUUUUCUCUCUUUCUUUUCACAAGAAGAACAGCUUCUUCAAGUGUGAGUAAUUUGGUUAUAAGCUUGUUCAAACUUAUUUGUAGUGUUCCAAAGAGAAGGAAGAGAAAGAACCGUGUGCACUACCUAGACGUGUGCAUAGGCUAGGCCGGGCCGGGUUCGGGCUCGACCCAACUAAAAAUUUAGGCUCGUUUGCUAGGCCCGGGCCUUGCCCGGCCCGAAAAAUAGGCUUAAAAUUUUG
rnacentral:lncRNA from 1 species